rnacentral:rRNA from 1 species
CUCGUAGGCGGUUCGUCACGUCGUCUGUGAAAUCCUAGGGCUUAACCCUGGACGUGCAGGCGAUACGGGCUGACUUGAGUACUACAGGGGAGACUGGAAUUUCUGGUGUAGCGGUGGAAUGCACAGAUAUCAGGAAGAACACCGAUGGCGAAGGCAGGUCUCUGGGUAGUAACUGACGCUGAGGAGCGAAAGCAUGGGCAGCGAACA